UACGAAGGGGGCUAGCGUUGCUCGGAUUGACUGGGCGUAAAGGGCGCGUAGGCGGUUUGUACAGUCAGACGUGAAAUUCCCGGGCUCAACCUGGGGGCUGCGUUUGAUACGUGCAGGCUUGAGUGUGGAAGAGGGUCGUGGAAUUCCCAGUGUAGAGGUGAAAUUCGUAGAUAUUGGGAAGAACACCGGUGGCGAAGGCGGCGACCUGGUCCAUUACUGACGCUGAGGCGCGAAAGCGUGGGGGAGCAAACAGG
rnacentral:rRNA from 1 species